GGUCUUUGUUUUGUUUUGUUUUGUAAAUUGUUAGAGAUUGUUCUAUUAAUAGUUUCCUUUUGUAAUGGUAAUCUGUGCUCCAAAAUGAGGGCACACUAAAAUGAAUUUCUGAUAAUUUAUAAAGCAGUGAAAUACAAAUAAAUUUCUAGAAACUUACUAAUGACAGUAAGAAAAUGAGUACCAAGAGUUUCAAAAUUAAAAAUAAAAAUCUUUUUAAUAUUAUGUUGAAUUAGAACAUCUUUUUAAAAACCAAACGUAAAUGAAAAGAGAUUAAAUUGGUACACUCAACUCUCUAAACUGUGUGUAUAUUUUUCUUAAAGUGCAUAUCCAUGAGCUGACAGUAAAGACAGGCUGGCUGCUUUGUUUGACUAUAGUUCUGUUUACCUCAUACUGUCAAGAAUGGAUUUUGACACAGUAUUAAUAUUGCUAUUUUUAUUGAUAUAAUUAGCACUGCUAUAAAUAAUUUCUUGGGCUGCCAUAUGUAAGUAUAUCAUUACAAUCAGCAGUAUUUAGUGCUUCUUCUUCUUAUAUGACACCUUGAAAACAGACUGUUGGCCCAAAGAACAAAAGUGACCUCAUGAUAUGGGAAUCACUGAAAAAAACAUUGCCCUGUCAAUAGAGACUACUGUUUUGUGUAUGACUUCACUAAACAAACUAGUUUAUAUUUGUUUGAAACUAAAGUUUCUCACCAAUCUGCUGUUUCAAUUUCACAUCACACCAUAUUGUACCUAAAACAGGCAAUCUGGAUUCCUGUUGCUACUUUUUCUUCCCCCAAACAGCUCAGGAAUGGGUUUGAAAUACAAGGCUUGAAUAUAUAAAGCAAAAUAAUUAAGACACCCAAAAUUCAGAAUGGGUAGGUGAAAACAAGUACACUUGAAACCAUUUGUGUAACUACUAGUGGGUGGCCCACUGUGAGUUUUUGAUUAUAUGAAAGCAAAAUCAAAACAUAUUUUAUCUUGCCUCUAGAUCACAUCAGCUGUGACAAUAACCUUAUCUGGACCUUGAAUAGUUUGUUCAUAAAACAAAGUAGGGUGACUGACCCAGUGCAUAUUCAACACAGAGUAUGAAGGCCAAAAGAAAAUGACAAUACAAUUCAAAACAAGUUUGUGGAAAUUUUAGACUAGUAUAUUAAAACCUUUCUUUGUCUCUAUCACUUGACAGAUGGUUAGCCUUCACACAGCCUAGUAUCUCUGGCAAAGAAAUGACUGUGUCUAGCCAAUAACACCCCAAAUUUUGACUUAAAAUGCACUGUACACAUGCUUAGACUUACCUUACAAAUAUGAAUAUUAAUAAACUUAGUCAUGCUUACUUUAUUACUAUAAAAAUUUGAUAGAUGUCAAGAUUUCAUCUUCUGCCGUUAAGAAUACCUUCUUGAAACUCAACUAUUUUAGGUGGAUAUAAGGUUCUAUGAACUCUGCACUUCAGAUUUCAUUCAUUUCACAGGUUGGCUGGUAAUCAUGCUUAAAAAAAAUACUUCCAAAAUAACAUUUCAUCCCAAAAAUAUUAUAAAAUUUAUAGAAAUUUAAUUAGCUUGUGUUUCUAUGCUAUCCAUAGGAAAGUUUUGGUAACAAAGUGGCUUAAACAAAAUCACCAGGGAACCCUGAAUACACUCCAUGUCAAGGACCACAGGCAGGACUGGAAUUAUUUAUCCAGUACUGAUAUGUCUUUAUUCAAAAACUGCUCAUUGAUAAAUAUAUACUCACACACACAUGCAAACACACAUCGAUCAACCAUCCUUACCAGAAAACAGGAAACGGUCUUACUUUUUAACAUUCUAUUAGCCAUUCUUCCAUUUUGCUCUUUAAAAAAAAAUUCAACUGAGGCUGGGCGCGGUGGCUCACACCUGUAAUCCUAGCUCUUUGGGAGGCCGAGGCAGGCAGAUCACAAGGUCAGGAGAUCAAGACCAUCCUGGCCAACAUGGUGAAACCCUGUAUCUACUAAAAAUAACAAAAAAAAUUAGCAGGGCGUGGCUGUGUGCGCCUGUAGUCCCAGCUACUCAGGAGGCUGAGGCAGGAGAAUUGCUUGAAUCUGGGAGGCGGGGCUGCAGUGAGCCAAGAUUGUGCCACUGCACUCCAGCCUGGCGACAGAGCAAGACUCCAUCAAAAACAAACAAACAAACAAACAAAAAAACCAAAAAAAUUCAACUGAAACAAUGUAUUCCAUUAGUUAUAAAGUCUGUUUCGUCCUAAAUCUUCCUAUUUAUAGCUUUCAGAUGCUGGCAAGUCUGUAUACAAAUAGCCAGAGGCAAUCACAAACUGCUCUAAAGUGCAUUAAUAUGUACCCUUCCUGGAAGAGGCUGAUUAUGUUCCAAAUUAGCAUAAAUAGAGAUCUAAUGUAGGUAUAAGCGUGACAAACCCUCCAUGGCACAGGAUGGGAGGACUGGGGGAGGGAGGAUUGUACUAAAAAAAGUUAUUCCACUUAAGAACUAAACUUGUAUUUGGCUAACAAAGUAAGACUCACCAUGACAGAUGGGAAAAAAAAUUAAAAACUGUUAUUUGAGAACUAUGAACUAGGUUUUGGAAAGGUGAGACACCCACUACUUGAAGUCACAAACUCAACAUUAAAUCAUAUACUCAUUUAACCAGGUACCAACUUUCCUUCUGUUAGAAACUCAGGAUUUUUACACCUACAGGCUAAAUGAUUAAAGUAUUACUAAAAUCUUCUGUAAUGUUCCUCUUGCAUUACAAAUAAGUCUAUUAAAGCAGAAAAGUGCCAGUCAAAUGCUUUUGAAAAAAUAGUUUAAAUAACAAAGCAUUUUUUGCAGGUCUCUCCUCUUUAAUGUCGCCUAUAAACUAAUUACAAUAAAUUUUCACCUUCUCUUGAUAAAAUCACAACUGAAACUAGGCAUGGUGGCAUGCACCUGUAGUCCCAGCUACUAGGAGGCUGAGACAGGAAGGCGGAUCACUUGAGCCCAGGAGUUAAAGUACAGCCUGGGCAAUAAAAGGAGAUUCCCAUCUCAAAAAACAAAAAAGAAACCCAGAACUGAAAAAGAUUUAGGUACUUGAUUUUUCAGAUAUGUUCCUAAAAACAAAUCCUAACCAAAAAUUAACAGAUAUUCUAGCUUUUGUUUUACCAUACUUUGCUAACAAGAUAAUACUAUGUAGGAAUUUUAUAGUAAAUUUCAAGAUACAAGAUUUUUCUAAUAUAAAGCAACAUUUUAUUUAUUUCAAAGACAUUAUUAAAAUCAUGAAAAAAAAUCCCUAUCUGUUAAAAAUUACCAACUGAAAUAUAUGGAGAAAGUUUCAUGACAAUAACAAAAGGUACAAAUAAGAAAUAAACUAAGAUCUUCCUUUCCUAUCACUGCCAACUGGUAAACACCUUCCUCCUUCUCAAACUUCUGUAAGCUCUUUCAAACUGUAGUUCCUAAAACAAGAAAGCAGCUAGGUUUUAAAGUUUCAUUAAAAAAUCUCCCCCCCUAACAAUCUAAAAUGCACAAAGUGUGUUUGACAUUAGAAUGUAAGCUCCACAAGGGCAGGCAAUUUUCUCUCUUGUUCAUUAUUACACUCCAAGUGUCUAGAACAAUAUGAUAAAUUUAACCAUCCAUUUCAGAAAAAUAUGAUUAUUUCAGAGACUAAAGCAAAGCCCAUCAAUCUCUACUUCUGUAUUCCAAAUGUUUUAAAGAAGUCUCUGCUUGCCACUGAUUCUGUAAAGUUAUUCAAAUAAUAUGUAAUUAUUUUAUAAAUUAUAGAUCGCAGGAAAUUAGUUGUAGCUUUUAUUGCCCUUCUAAAACGACCUAAUUAUUCAGACUGGCCUUUUUUUCUAGAAAGUCCAAUUUACCUAAUUAUUCAGACUAGCCUUUUUACUACAAAGUACAAUUUGUCUAAAAAGUCUUCUGAAAACUUUCACUAAUGCAACAAAAAUAAUUGACUUAAAAUACUUUUUCCUUAGAUUUUCUUCCUAUACCAAGUAGUCAAAUUCUUAUUAACAGGACAACAAGAGGAAUUAGAUAUUUGCGGGUCUCAAAAACUUUCUGAUCCAAUUAUAUAAGAAACUGGCAUCACAUCAGCUGAUAGUUCUAAACACCCCCUUCCCCAAUUAUAGCCCUCACAUGAAAGUUUCUCUUUCCUCUAGUAUUCCAUUUAAUCUCAUAUUUUCUUUUAGUAGCUAGUCAAUGUACACAUGACCUAUAUGCGCAUUUUCUUGGUUUUGUAGUAAUCUUAAAACACGGGCCUAGAUGGGUAAGCAUAAAGACUUCUUCCUGGAAAUGCAUAAAAUUUGACAAUUUUUAAUCUGAUACUUUCUUUAGCUUGUUAAAAUUAGGACCUCACCGUGAAAGGGCAUAUUGCUGUGGAGGCUGGUAGCCAGCAAACUUGUCACCUGAUCUUCAUAUGCACAAGGCCUGUAUUCCACUGGUCUAUAAAAUCUGAAAUCAUAAAACCAAAAAUAUCCAAUUGCCCAACUCACUGAGCAGCUAAUAUAGUUCUAGAAAUCUCACUUUUCUUCUUCUCACCUGUUUACUUCAACACCGUGUCCCCAAACCUAAGGCCCUCCAAAAUUGAGCUCCAUAAAAAUCACAACCCCAAUCUUGAAAAUUAAGCCUUGAGUACUGAAUAGUUACAUCAACAAUUCCUUAAAGGCAAUUUCAAAUGCUUUCCUGGGAGACUACUGGAAAGAUGGCACAGGGAUAUCACCAUGCACUAUGUGUGCAACAACUUUGAUAUAUUCUAAGAAUCACAAAGAACAAAGGCAUGAAAAUCAAUGUAUUUUUUUUCUUUCAUUAGAAAAAUACAGAUUCUUCAUUUUAAAGCAAAAACAUAAAAAGUAGCCACAUCUUGACUGGGCAAACUUACAGUUGACCUUCAGUAUCCAUGGGAGAUUGGUUCUGGGACCUCUCUAGGAAACCGAAAUCCACAGAUGCUCAAGUCCCUUACAUAAAAUAGUGUAGUAUUUGCAUUUUACCUAAGCACAUUCUCCCAUAUACUUUAAAUCAUCUCUAGGUUACUUAUAAUACCUUAAUACAAGUAAAUGCUAUGUAUUAAUAAAUCAUUGUUACACUGUAUUGUUUAGGGAAUUGUGGCAAGAAAAAAAUCUAUAUAUAUUCUAUUCCAUCUAUUCCCCCACACCCAAAAUAUUUUUGAUCUGCUGUUGGUUAAAUCCACAGAUGCAGAACAUAGGCACAGGAAGGGCUGACUGUAUGUGACUGGGAGUGGAGGGGGAUCUAUAUAAAUAUUUCCACAAGAUAGCCAAGGGUACUUGGGAUUGGGAGCAUGAACAGAAAUGAAAACAAACCAUUAUAAAUUUAAGGAUGACUGGUUAUCACUUAAAUUCAGGGUCUACAGCUAUUUUAUUUAUAAAAUGGUAAUUGUUUUAAAAUUUUCAAUGGCAACAAGUUACAACAGUAACUUCAGAAUAGCGUUCCCUUGAAAACACUGGGUGAAUGGCCCCUAUAAUUUUUUUAGCUGAAAUGUAUACACCGCCAUGCAGUGAGGAAACUUUACUUUAGCACCAGUUUGGUAUUUUUAAUAGAAAAAACAGUGGAGAAGAUUUUCACAUGUCUAGAAAGGUAACAUGUUCAACUUAGGUUUGGCCAAUGCUGAUUCUGAGGACAGUACUACACCCGCAAGCUUCCAAACUACUUCCUGAUUCAUUCAGAUUUUUACUGGAGAGCUGUCAUCCUGCUACUGACCUCAUUCAACCCGGUUCCGAGUGAGAGAUCAGCGGAUUACGGCGCUAGGUACCGUAGCUGUACGCCAUAUUGUGUUUUUCGCUAAUGUUUAUAGUUUGUGUGUGUGCCUAGCAUAUGUUUCUGCAAGUGUGUUUAUCAAUAGAACUUUUAGAAAAUCCCUGCCUCCUGCCUCUUCAGCAUCCUUAAAAAGGGUAACAGCUGGGGGCGGGGGGGUGGGGGGAGGACCCAAAAGCCACACAGACAGGAAUGCAUUAAACAAUGUACGAGAGACGGCAUUUGUUUUAAACUUUCAAGAACCUUCCAACCAUUUUUAUAUCAGGAAUCAAAAAGUGUUAACAUGUUUUAAUGUUUCCAAAGUGGCCCAAAGGAGAAGAGAAAGAAGGAAAGGUGUGUCUUCCCUUCCCAAGCCCCCUCCUCUCUAGUCGUAGAAGCGAAGCAGGCGGGGGCCGGGAGCUCCGGCGUCUGGAGAGGCAUCCAGCGGCUGUGGGGCCAGGACACCUCCUGCCCCCCAGUUCUCUGAAGACGCUCCAGAGACCGCGAGAGCCACGGCAAGCGGGGGAGAGCGAGGAGGGAGGGGACAGAAGACAAGCGGGCGCCUCUAGCAGCUCCUGAGCCCCGGCUAGUCCCCCUCAGCUCCUCUUCUUGGAAGCAGCGGCUCCAGGCGCAGGGAGUAGAGAGAAGAAGGCAGAAGACACGUUUCCAGCUGCGGGACGUCCCGCCCGCCCCGCCCCGCCACCCGCCGACCCUCCCGCGCCUCCCUCCCGCCUCCCCGCCGGGUAGGGCGAGGCAGCCGCCAGGCGCUAAGAGGGGCGCCGGGGGAGGGGGCGCGGACGGGGCGCGGCGCGGGGGCGCGCGCGCUCGUCCAGCUCAAGGCCCGCCGGCUCGCCGCUCUUGAUCCGGGAGGUGGAAGGCUAUUGGCUCAGGGAGCCCGUCAGACCGGACUGGAGUGAGCCGUGAUUGGUCGACACAGGCGCAAUCAAGAUGGAGUCUUGCUGUGUCGCCAGGCUGGAGUGCAGUGGCACUAUCUCACCUCACUGCAACCUCCACCUCCUAGGUUCAAGUGAUUCUCCUGCCUAAGCCUCCCGAGUAGCUGGGAUUACAGUUUUAAUCAUUACACUGUGGUCUGCUUGUCUGACUCCCUUGAUACAACGUGCUGCCCAUUCGUCAGGGCCUGAGAGUGGCAGCAGCAGAGGCCAAGGGAGGUAUGGAGAGGGUAAGAAAACUCUAAGAAAAAAGGAGCUAAAGUUCCUGUAACAAUAAUAGAUGCAUGGAAGAAAAGAAAAGCCUAAAGUAGGAUCCUCCCAUGAAGAAAGCAAAGAGAGGAGAUUUCUUAAAACAAUAACUACAAGGUAAAAAAUGAAGCCACAGGGAUGCCAAACCCCUUUGCCAUAUUGGAAGUUUUAGCCCUUAACACUGGAACCCAGCAAUGCUUUUAACCUUGAUCUACAUAAUCUUUCUUCAUUUCAUGGUUUUGGUGAAAGAGGAAGCCUCAAGCCUCCUUUGAAGCCUGCAAUGUAGUACAAAUAAUAAUCAUCCUAUGGGAACAUAUGGAAUAGGCAUUAACCAGGUAUUAAGGGUGACAGAAUUAAUUUAUUUAAGCCAUUUUCAAACUUUCUCUGUAUUUUUUUAGUCAAUACUAUCAUUUAAAGUAGUGAAUUGGUGAUUUGGGCUGAAUAAUAACUUAAAUUUAGUUUUUCUGACCAGUGGCUGUAUUAUACUCAAUUUAGUCCUGAAAGACCAUUAUAUUUAUUUAUUUGUUUCAUUUUCAAAUCUAGUUCCCAUGGUGGUCCCCUUUUACUGAGAAGAUAAUCAGAUAAUCAUUUCAGAACCACUAAAUUGUACAAACCAGAAACACUACUGACUUAGUCAGGACUCCAUAUUUGCAAGUAGAAGAAACCCAACUCAGAUUAAUUUAAAUAAGAAAGGAUACUGCAUUAAUUUACAAUGAAGAAGGGACCUCCAGUGAUGUCACCAGCAAUCAAUCUAUCCUGCUUUCUUUCCCAGUGCUGCUUUGCUUCACUUUGACUUUAUUCUCAGAGUCAAGAAAACUUUGCUUUUUACUUAUUUACAGCUUGUCGCAAUUGAGUAUACUCCUGUAAACAAAUUUGGAUUUCUCUCUCUCAAUCUGAUUUCUCCCUCUCAAUCUGAUUUCUCCAGAAUGUGGAAACUAUUUGUGAGUAUUCUUAAUUUAUGGCAACAUAGUUAUUUGCAUAAGUGCAAUAAGAAUGUUUUAUUUUGCAACAGGACACUAUUGGAGAAACUGGUUAUUUUACUGGAAUGGUGUGAUUUCCUUUAAGGAAUCAAACUUGAGUUAAAUAGAGCCAAUAAAAACCCCUUGGGAACAAUGGCCUCAUAUCUUGUCUACACAGUCCCUGUAUAGGGUUCCUGACCUGUGGUAAGUAAAGAAUUUCACUUUCUGAUAGGUCCAGGAGAUCCAAGUUAUCUUGGGAUCUCAAGAGGAGAGGAAUUUACCCAGCUCAAAGGCAUUUGAUGGUACAAAGCCAUGACUGAGCUUGACUUUAAAAAAGUCUUAUCUGAGAUUUCUUCUAUGAAACAAAGUUCCAUAAAAAAGCCUAUGUGAAAAUAAUUAUUCUUGCUGUACUUUAUACAAAUAGGCCAAGUAUAAUAAAGUAAAUCAGUCUUACCAUGAUUUGUCUUUAGUAAAAAUAGGAACCUGAAGAGAGAAAAAUUAUGUUUCAAAAAGUAUAGUACACCUGUCAUUAGAUUUUAGACUUGCUUAAUGUUUUUCAAUUUUUAUUAUUUUCUACAGUUGGAAUGAAUUCUAAAAUUUUUCCUGGUGAUGUCUCCAAAAUAAUGUUUUCAAUUUUUUUCAUCUUUAUUUUUCUUUUUUCUCCUAUUUUUCCUAAUUUGAAAUAACUGAAAACUAAGCUGUGCUUUCUUAAAGCCCUAUGAACUAAAGGUAGACAACUUAAGCUUCAGAAGAAAAUAACAGCAACCUAUUUACAUACAUAAGCCACUUUCAUAACUGCCUACUGAUAAUAUGGACUUCACAGUAAUAUGGCCUGUAUUGAUUUUCUAGGAUUUUUCUUUUUUGUUUGUUGUUGUUUUUCUCCCUUCCUCCCCCUAUUUUCUCUUCAUAGGACAUGAGACUUCACAACCUGCUAAAAAUGAGCUUUUCUAAUAAUGUGGGACUUACUCUUCUACAAAUAAACCAUCCUAGCCAUGAGAGAUCAGAUAAAGUCUGAGAGCAGAGACUCACUUUCUUCUAAAAUGAUUUCUCCAGAGGAUUUUAAAAAGAAAAGGGUUAAAAUGUGAAAGGAAAAUAAAUCUUGGGACCCCCAAAUCUCUAAGCUAAAGGGAAAAGUCAAGAUGGGAACUGCUUAGGGCAAACCUGCCCCCCAUUCUUUUCAAAGUCAUCCUUCUGCUCACUAAGAUAAAUGCAUAUCUUACUGCUUCCUUUGGAAAUGCUAAUCAGAAACUCAGAAGAAUGCAACCAUUUGGUUUUUCUCUUAUCUACCUAUGACCGGGAAGCACCCUUCCCACUUCAAGUUGUCCUGCCUUUCUGGACUAAACCAAUGUACAUCUUACAUACACUGAUUGAUGUCUCAUGUCUCCAUAAAAUGUAUAAAACUAAGCUGUGCCCCGACCCCCUUGGGCACAUGUUGUCAGGACCAGGACCUUGUGAGGCUGUAUUAGGGGCAUGUGUCCCUGACUUUGGCAAAAUAAACUUUCUGAAUUGACUGAGACCUGUCUUAGAUAUUUGGGGUUCAUACCCCCUUGGUACUGUGUAGUCAAUGAGUUCUCAGAAGAUCUGGUUGUUUAAAAGUGUAUGGCACCUCCUACUUCUCUCUCUUCUUCUUGAUCUGGCCAUAUAAGACAUGCCUGCUUCUCCUUGGCCUUCCACCAUGAUUGUAAGUUUCCUGAGGCCUCUCCAGAAGCCAAGCAGAUGCCAGAGUCAUGCUUCCUGCACAGCCUGUGGAACUGUGAGCCAAUUAAACUUCUUUUAUUUAUAAAUUACCCAGCCUCAGGUAUUGCUUUAUAGCAGUGCAAGAAUGGACUAAUACAAGUGUUAUAUUGAGUAGGUAAAAAUCAAUACGAUUUAGCAGUUGGACUUAGAGACACAGGAGCUGGGGAGACUUUUUUAAAGAGGUGAUUAGAAGAAUAAUAUUGUCAUCAUGGAAAUUAGAAAGUUAGGUUUAUUGGUGAAAAGUUGGUGAAUAGUCUUCUAGAUAUUUUGAGUUUGAUGUACUAAUGAGGAACAAGUGGAGAUCUCCAUCAUGCACUUGGAAAUUUAGGACUGGAGCUGGGAGACAAGUGAGGCCAGAAAUAAAGGUAUGCUCCUUCUGCUCUCAACCCGCCAUGGCCUAAGUGGGAUCAGUAGAAGCCCUGCAAGUAAGUGUCUGGAGUUAGCAAAAUAGCAUGGAAGAACAAACUGAUGCCAGAACCUAUGAACUGAUGGCAUUUAAGGGGUGGGAGGGAAAAAGGCAAAAGCAGAUGUGAAAGGAGAUCAGGAAACUUAGGCAAGUCAAAUAAGAGAAAAUUCUUUCAAGUGUGAACUUCUGUAUAUGACAUUUAUGAUUUAGGUCCAGUUUAUAUCAAGAACUUAAGAAAGAAAAUUGGAAAAAUAAAUAGGGCUUUAUGUAUUUUAGGACUUAUGAUGAUGAUUAUGAUAUAGGAUGAAAAUAAAGUGUGGGCCAGGAGCAGUGGCUCACGCCCUGUAAUCCCAGCACUUUGGCAGGCUGAGGUGGUGGAUCACAGGUCAAGAGAUCUAAAUCAUCCUGGCCAACAUGGUGAAACCCAUCUCUACUAAAAAUACAAAAAUUAGCUGGGUGUGGUGGCACAGGCCUGUAGUCCCAGCUCCUCGGGAGGCUGAGGCAGAAGAAUCACUUGAACCCGGGAGGCAGAGCUUGCAGUGAGCCAAGAUCGUGCCACUGCACUCCAGCCUGGUGACAGAGCGAGAUUCCAUCUCAAAAAAAAAAAAAAAAAAAGAAGAAAAGAAAGUGUGGACAAAACCGACUACAGAUUAAUUCCUACAUAUGCAAUUCCAGAAUUCUUAUGAGACAUGCAUUAGGACAUCAGCAACAGAGACACUAGAAUCCAUCACCUGACAGCUGCGGAGAGCAUAGUUUCUCAUUUGGCUUACUACCAUGCCUGAGACUCCCCGCGAAAGAGACCCAAACAUAUUACCUAAGGAAAUGAGGAGUCACUGAGUGAUAAUGUGAAGUAGAAGAAUUCACAUUCUCAUCUGCACAGUCACCCAGGGGUCUCAUUUUUGAAUCUGGAAUGUGAAAUGGGCUUUGGAAAUAAUUGAAAAAAUGCCCAGUAUGCCCAGUACAAUGCUGGGUGUGGUAAACACAGCAGUCAAAAGGUCUGACCACUGUUGUGUCUUCGCUGUCUUCAUAGAGCUUUCUUACUGAAGCUUCAAGUAAUGUCUCUAAGAAACCUUUUUUUAAGUUAUAAUUUACCUCAAAUUCCCUUCCUUAUAAUAUUUAAUGAAAUGACACAUAAAAUGCAAGGAAAGUGAGUAAAAGAAGAGCAACAUGGUUUCUGAAAGAGAAAAGUAUUUUAUAAGACAUAAAAGCAGAUUCAUGGGGAAGGUCAUCAAUGGUGGCACUGGUGACUAACAUAGGAUCUGAAAUAAUACCAGUGAUAAUUAAAAACAUUUCUUUCUGAGACCUUUCAAAUGCUGAGGAACUCUCCUCUCUUCAGGAGACUUCACAGUGUUUUGUUGAUGACAAA